UGUGUGUGUGUGUGUAUGCGCGCACAUACACGUGUGUAUGUAUAUGUGUGUGUGUAUGCGCAUGUAUGUACACACACACA